rnacentral:rRNA from 1 species
UGCAGUCGAGCGGGGGACUUGGCUUGCUACUGGACCUAGCGGCGGACGGGUGAGUAAUACUUAGGAAUCUGCCUAUUAGUGGGGGACAACGUUCCGAAAGGAGCGCUAAUACCGCAUACGCCCUACGGGGGAAAGCAGGGGAUCUUCGGACCUUGCGCUAAUAGAUGAGCCUAAGUCGGAUUAGCUAGUUGGUGGGGUAAAGGCCUACCAAGGCGACGAUCUGUAGCGGGUUUGAGAGGAUGAUCCGCCACACUGGGACUGAGACACGGCCCAGACUCCUACGGGAGGCAGCAGUGGGGAAUAUUGGACAAUGGGCGCAAGCCUGAUCCAGCCAUGCCGCGUGUGUGAAGAAGGCCUUAUGGUUGUAAAGCACUUUAAGCGAGGAGGAGGCUUACCUAGUUAAUACCUAGGAUAAGUGGACGUUACUCGCAGAAUAAGCACCGGCUAACUCUGUGCCAGCAGCCGCGGUAAUACAGAGGGUGCAAGCGUUAAUCGGAAUUACUGGGCGUAAAGCGCGCGUAGGUGGCCAUUUAAGUCAAAUGUGAAAUCCCCGAGCUUAACUUGGGAAUUGCAUUCGAUACUGGAUGGCUAGAGUAUAGGAGAGGAAGGUAGAAUUCCAGGUGUAGCGGUGAAAUGCGUAGAGAUCUGGAGGAAUACCGAUGGCGAAGG